rnacentral:rRNA from 1 species
GAUGAACGCUGGCGGCGUGCCUAAUACAUGCGAGUCGAGCGAACAGACGAGGAGCUUGCUCCUCUGACGUUAGCGGCGGACGGGUGAGUAACACGUGGAUAACCUACCUAUAAGACUGGGAUAACUUCGGGAAACCGGAGCUAAUACCGGAUAAUAUAUUGAACCGCAUGGUUCAAUAGUGAAAGACGGUUUUGCUGUCACUUAUAGAUGGAUCCGCGCCGCAUUAGCUAGUUGGUAAGGUAACGGCUUACCAAGGCAACGAUGCGUAGCCGACCUGAGAGGGUGAUCGGCCACACUGGAACUGAGACACGGUCCAGAUUCCUACGGGAGGCAGCAGUAGGGAAUCUUCCGCAAUGGGCGAAAGCCUGACGGAGCAACGCCGCGUGAGUGAUGAAGGUCUUCGGAUCGUAAAACUCUGUUAUUAGGGAAGAACAAAUGUGUAAGUAACUAUGCACGUCUUGACGGUACCUAAUCAGAAAGCCACGGCUAACUACGUG